UUUAAAGGAUAAAAGUAAUCCACUGGUCUNC
rnacentral:tRNA from 1 species